rnacentral:rRNA from 1 species
UACGUAGGGUGCGAGCGUUGUCCGGAAUUAUUGGGCGUAAAGAGCUCGUAGGCGGCUUGUUGCGUCGACUGUGAAAACCCGCGGCUCAACCUCGGGCCUGCAGUGGGUACGGGCAGACUAGAGUGCGGUAGGGGGAGAUUGGAAUUCCUGGUGUAGCGGUGGAAUGCGCAGAUAUCAGGAGGAACACCAAUGGCGAAGGCAGAUCUCUGGGCCGUAACUGACGCUGAGGAGCGAAAGCAUGGGGAGCGAACAGG